GGAGAGGUGGCAGAGUGGUUGAAUGCGGCGGUCUCGAAAACCGUUAGGCGGGUAUCCCCCGUCUCGGGGGUUCGAAUCCCCCCCUCUCCGCCA
rnacentral:tRNA from 1 species